UUCAUCUUCGUCCCUGAUCUCACACCAAGAACUCUGUGUCCUCUACAUGUCUUUGUGGUCUUGAUUCAAUGGAUCAUGAAAAUCAAGGUACAAAUAUGCCUUGCCUUAAGCCCCCAUGAAUCAACAGAUGACGGCUUGACAGAUGGGCGCCAAAAAGAGCGCCACCUAAAGGAAAUCAAUCCUCAUCAGCUUUAAAGCCUUUGACACUCAGUGACUGACAGACAACCUUUCUGGUCCUCCAGCCCCAUUUGGAAAUGUUUGGCAGUGGUUAAGAAGAAGAGAAAAUUGGUUAACCAGACAUGCAUUAUUCCUCGUCCUUGUAGCCCUUUCACUAAUAAAACCAAAGCAUACAGUUUGAAAACACUUCCAACAAAGCAUAAGUCUCACAUUUGUGCAGUUUUCAAGAUGAGAAUUGGCUAAUUGCUGCCCCUAGUGGCUGAUCUGGGAAAACAGCAGUUCUCAUUAACCACAGUUCCAGUGGGUGUUUUCUUCUCUUUGGCCACAGGGGACAGUAAUGAGUCCAGCUUAGUGGACCAGAAUGAGAGACAGAAGGUGGUGCACUUGAAAACUUACUUUAACAAGUCUCACCAAGGUCAGAA